rnacentral:rRNA from 1 species
AGCGAACGCUGGCGGCAUGCUUAACACAUGCAAGUCGCACGGGCAGCAAUGUCAGUGGCGGACGGGUGAGUACCGCGUAGGAACGUGUCCUGAGGUGGGGGACAACCCCGGGAUACUGGGGCUAAUACCGCAUAUGGGCUGAGGCCCAAAGCCGAGAGGCGCCUUUGGAGCGGCCUGCGUCCGAUUAGGUAGUUGGUGGGGUAAAGGCCUACCAAGCCUGCGAUCGGUAGCUGGUCUGAGAGGACGACCAGCCACACUGGGACUGAGACCCGGCCCAGACUCAUCCGGGAGGCAGAAGUGGGGAAUAUUAGACAAGGGGCGACAGCCUGAUCCAGCAAUGCCGCGUGGGUGAAGAAGGUCUUCGGAGCGUCGAGCCCUUUCGAGGGGGCCGAUGAUGACGGUACCCGUAGAAGAAGCCCCGGCUAACUUCGUG